CAACAGUACGUGAAACCGCAUAGAGGUAAACGGGUGGAUCCGCAAAGUCGGCCCGCGGAAUUCAGCUCGGAAGGCUGCGCGCCUGCCGCCGGGUAGGAGAUCGCAAGACUCUCCUGGCGUGGGACGCGUGCCGGCCGUGUGCACUUUCCGUGGGCAGAGCGCCACGACCGGUUUCCGGGCGGUCAGAAGGCGGCGAGGAUGGUAGGCGCGUGCCUCGGCGCGCGCUGGUAUAGCCUCGCCUGUCCCGAUCCGCCUGGGGACCGAGGAGCCGCCGUGGGCUGGGGCCGCCUCGCCCUCCCGGGAUGUUCGACUGGCAGAGACUGGGUGACCGUGUCUGCCGACCGCUUCCUGGGACGGACUGGGGUGGGCCCGCCCUCACAGGGUCAGUGGCGAAUCGGUCGGCCCUCCACCCGACCCGUCUUGAAACACGGACCAAGGAGUCUAACAUGCGCGCGAGUCGUUGGGUCGUACGAAACCCGAAGGCGAAGUGAAAGCGAGGGCCGUCUCUGACGUGCUCAGGUGGGAUCCCGGUCCCUCUGCGGGCUGGGCGCACCACCGGCCCGUCUCGUCCGCGUUGU
rnacentral:rRNA from 1 species